UGUGCAGGGGCUGAUGGGAAGGCACCUUCGUCAGUGGGAGACCCAGGAACGCUUCUCGGCGGCGAGGGCAAAGUCAACAGAGUAAUGUCACCUCGAAGUUGGACCCACCAAUGUAUCACAAUCUCCUUCCAAACAAAUCCUAUAAAACAAAAGAAGAGUAACAUGAGGGUGUAAACCAUGUCGUUCGUGGAACCAGUGGGAAGAUGUUGGCAACCAAAGGUUGAAAGCCUUGCAAAACCAUCAUGCAAACAUG